AGGACGUUGUCACGUCGCCGGAAAUAGAGUCAUAAGUGUCCCAAUGUGUAGUGAACCAGCAUCUUUUACUGUCCUUAUCAGUGCCCGAAUUCGUACACGAUAUACUGAUUCACGAGCUCGGGAGCUAGGGAACUGAUUGAGAGACACCCUGAGAGAGUGUAAUUAACGUUAGUUACAUCCGGGACAUUUAUGCGUUGUGCGCAACGAAACCAAUUUAAAAUUUUCUCACAGACGCCAUUUUCUUUGACUCGCGAUGCAGAGGGAAAACGCCGAUAUUAAGUGUUUUAUCGCCUUUAUAUAUGCAUUUUAUAGCAUAAUAUUGUUUUAUAAUUCAUGUGCUGUGCACGAAACCGCUCUCAGAGAGGCAUUUUCGUUGACGCGCCAUGCGGAGCAGACCAGGAGGUUUCUUUUCAGCAGGGAAACGCCGAAAGCGACAUCUUAUUUGACUCGCGAUACGGAGCUUUAGCUUACUACGAGGAGGUUUGCUUGUAACAGGGAAAACACAGAAAGCCUCACUAACAUAAGUUACAUCUUUGACUCAUGAUGCUGUGCAGACACACAGUUUGCUUUUAACAGAGAAAACACCAAACGGGUUUAAGCUUGUCAUUUACAAAAUUUAGACCUGUCUGAUGUCUUCAGAUGCAUCAUGUUCAUCUCCUGCAUCAACUUUUGAUUUAAGACAGUCCCCCUAGAAGGAAACCAAGGCUGACAGAUGACUCUUCUGAUAAACAAGCAGAAAAAAAGAUUUUGUGGGAAAUCCACAGACACUGGGGGCGCAUGCAAACUCACCACAGAAAGGCCUCCUGGCUCAGCCGGGACCCUCUUGCUGUGAGGCGACAGUGCUACCAACGGAGGUGAGAGCCAUGAGAACGGAGCGAGGCCGGUGGAGCAAAUGCUUAUAAGCGUCUCCAUUCUCGAGUCCCAUGGAGGAGCUCCGGAAGGAUAAGAGGAGAGACAACUGUGCAAGACGUGAGAGGACCAUGCCUGGAUUUUAUGUUGUUGUUUUGUUUUAAUUCAUGAGGACGACUGCUGCUUUAUUUUUGUUUUGUUUCAUCGGUUCCCUCCUCCUCCUUCCCUGAGCCUUUAAUUUUGCUACAGGGUGCCGCCCACCGAAGGGUAUGCAGUAGGGCUGCCCCCUAAUAGUCGACUAACCGUUAGUCGACUUGAAGAGGCUUGGUUGACCAAGAUUUUCUUAAUCGGUUAGUCGCAGAAAAAAAAACCUCCACAGGAAGUUGUGAGGUCACGCAGUCCGUGAGGGACAGAUCGUUAACGGCAGGAAAUCCAAACAUUCGCCUAUCAUUCAUCAUGCAUCAACCUCAAAUAUGGCUUAUCACGUAAAACAAGUAGUAGCAACUUGUCCACUCGCUGUAAUGUUAGCCUAGUCUUAGAUAUGUGCGCUAUUAUUUGCCGCAUAUCCAUGUGCUUGUGUUGAGAGCGCGCUUACUGCAUGACAAGGAGGCGCCGAUGCAAUCAUUGCAUUCAACUAAUUUUUGGUCAUAGAUAAGAGUAAUGCAAAAUGUUAAGGGUCUACUAUUAUUUCUGUUAACUCACAAUAACAGCAAAACAUUGUGCUUUUGUAAAACAAUGAAAGCAAUCAGGAUGCAUUUUCUGCUCUCGGUCUCAGUGAACUUGAGCACGUAACAAACAUGAACCGAAACUCGUAUCGUAUACUUGCCUCACAAACAUGAGAAAUAUAUCUAAUAUAAAGCUUGGAAUGUCUACUUUUAAACGAGCCAAUUCAAAUGGAAAAUAAUUAUUCUCAGAUUACGUAAUCCAUAUGAAGCUUGCAUAUAUGUGCGUCCACUAAUGUGGAGAUGACGAGUCAGCAUCAUGCACUGAGGCAAGCUUUAUGUGUGCGUUUGAGCGCUGAUUAUGCUAUAAUGAUUUAUGGCUUAUUAAUAUAAAUGCGCGAUUAGUCGACUAAUGGCUUAAAUGAACGACUACUGGUCGACUAGAAAAAUCUUUAGUCGAGGGCAGCCCUAGUAUCCAGCGCCACCAUCAGGCAUCAUGGAGGAGUUCACCCAGCUGGUGGAGGACCAGAUGGCAGUGCGUUUUGGGAACCGGACUAAGAAGGUUUUUUUCUUCUCUUCCCUCUCUCGUCUCUGUCUCUCCUCAUCCUUCCGUCUCCUUUUCUCUCGCCUCAUCUGUCCUUACUCCCAGGUGCUGCGGCCACCAUGACACUCCCCCCAGAGGGUACCCCACGGCCUGCGAGAGGUUAUGGGAGUAUGUGGCAAGCAGGGUGGGGCCGAGAGCCAUGGGAACAAAGCGAGGCCGGUGGCUUGAGUGCUAAUGAGCACUUUUAAAUAGAUAUUUUUUCUUCUUCUUUUGCAAAGUACAUGAUUAAUGCUUGGAACCAGUCAUGGAGGAUGAUCUUUUCCAAAUGAAUUCGCUUGGCUGGAUCUCUUUCUAGGCAUGAACUGAUCAGUUCUCUGCAUUCUGUGAAGGAAGAGGGAAGAGAUGUCUGAUUAUUAUUGUCCAGGUAAAGGUCUGAGGUUUCAGCUUUUCAGGGUACCUCCCACUCAGCAUCUUGAACAACAGUACGCCUAGAGAAUACACUGUUGCAGGCUUGGCGUGGUACCUUCUUUGGAAAGCCUCAGGGGGAGCGUAAACUCUUGUGCCUGGAAGAAAAAACAAGAUUUUGUCCAUUGCAAUGAAUCUGUAUUUCCAAAGCUUUUUAUCAGUUUUUUUCAUUAGAAUGCAAUAAGUGA